CAGCAGUUGUGGAAACAGGAUCUUGCAGUUUCUUUUACCCUCUUCAAAGGCUCACACAAUUCACCCAGUUAAAAUAUGUGUGUUGAAUGCAAUGCCACAGAAGCAAUUGCUUUGGAUGCUAAGGCUGUCAUCCUGGCCAAGAAAAGCCCUGUCCCAUGUCAUUCAGAGACUACAGUGGUGUAGCAAUGUGAGUUGGUGACCUAGAUAUUUAAACUGAUUUUCAAAUUGAAUGGAGUUGGGAGAAUCCUUCUGUGGACCCACUGGAGAUCUCUGUCCCCCUGGAAGACACCUUGCAGCCAAAUUAUCAAUGAUAAUUACAUUCUACCUCCUUUAAUUGCUCAAAGCCAAACCCUCCUUGGGAGCUCUCCCAUUCUGCAAGAGACUAAUGCAGAAUCCAGUAAUAUGAUAUGUUUUCAUGGGCUUCUGACUCGGUUGCCCCAUGAAUGUUCAAAUGACCCUGACC
rnacentral:lncRNA from 1 species